UGCCGCCUCCGUUAAACAGCGCGUCGCUUUACUCUUCCUUUGCUUGUGGGCACCAUCCACGACGAGCUUCCACACAUCAGCGCGGACGCACCGUAGACGCUUUCCUUGCGCAACCCCCCCUCCCCCCUCCUCCCUCCCUCACCCGCUUCUCUGUCGUCUCUCAAGACGUAGGCACCAACACGUGAUCUCUUUACCAAGUACCCAUUCUCGCCCCGUCGUCUUCCUUACUUCCUCUGCCUCGCUCACGACCCUCUUCGUGGGCCUCCCCUCGCCGCUGCGCGCCAGCACACCGACACGCACGCGAGCAAGGAAGGUCGCUCACGAGACACGAGUCACAUCAACAUCAACGCCAUCACCGCCACGAAGGCGACGCGCGCGCUCCAGUUGUAUCUACAUCUAUAUAUAUAUACACGCAUACACGCGAGGUUUUUCGCUCUGCCCCGUUUUCCGUAGCCCAAAUCCUCAUCGACUCGCUAUUGUGCCACGUGUGUCGCCUGCCACACCUCUGUUCCCCUCACCCUCCCCCAUCCCCCGCCUCUCUCUCGUGCGGAUACAGCAACACACGGCGGUGCUACACACCACGCCCAGUCACCGAAACGACUCGCAGAAGAGGGGAAUGGGCUGCAAGUGCACAAAGACCAAGGAUAAGAGGAAACACGAGGGGCUGCCCGGGGCCUCCGCAGAGGACGCGGGGCACGAGGCGGUGCAGUACGCCGGCACCUCCGAGCUGGAUGAGGCGCUCGUGAGCGAAUCGGUGCGCCCUUCCGCGACAGCGAGCGCCUCCCACAGGAGGGGUGAGGGGAGCCCCAGAUCGCCGGCGCGACUGCCGGAGGAAGCGGUAGCGGAGCAGCAGGCAGACGAUGCGGCGGCUGCCGUUGGUGCACCUGAUGACUCGACGCAGACGACGACAGAGAUGUCGGUGAAGCCGAAGCAGAGCGAUAAUGCUCCAGCAGAGGCCGACGACGCCUCCAAGAGCGUCGGUGUGGUGCCGCACUCGUUCACAAGCCGCACCUGGACGCCAUCAGAGCAGCAGAAGCCCGAGCGGGAGGUGCCAAAGGUUGGCAGCCAGUUCGACUUUGAGGCGGAGAGCACCGACAGUGAGGAGAAGGCGGCGGCAGAUGAGUGGGAGGUGGAGCUCUCGCAGCCGUGCUCCUUACCGCCAUCGACGCAGCAGCAACCGGAGCCCGCGCCCGUCCCGCCAGCGGCAGUGACAGCGACGUUGAACGACGCGGAGGCAACAACGCCGGUCGCCAUGGAAAGUGUCCCGCAGCCGAUACCGAAGCGCGAGUCACCACGCUCGCUGCCGGACGUUGCCAACGGUCAGAGCGCGAGCGCUGCAACGUCGUUGAACGCACCCGCUCCCGCGCCGCGCCGCCUUUCGCGGAAGCCGAGCAUCGCGAGCUCUUCGUCCGUUUCCGUGCGGCCGUCACGACGGCCGUCUCAGCGCAACCUGCUGCAGCCAUCGACGCACAACGGCGGUAGCCUGCGGGCUUCUCAGUACGUCGCCUCUCCCGCAGCUGCUGCUCCACCCCCGCCUCUCGCCCUUCCUAGAGACGAAUAUCGCGCUGCUGCAGCGGCGCCGCCGUCGCCGACACCGUCGACGGCCUCGACUUCAGUGACACCCAUCAAUAAAAAAGCGUUGAUACCGGUCGGCAAGCCGUCUGAACGCAUGGAGGCACUUCACCACGGCGCUGACACCGGCCGCGAGACGGUGGCGUCGCGACAGCACCUGAACCGGUUUCUCUACCGCGAGAGCCCGGUUGGCCUGUGCACGCCACACUCGCAGCCGCCUCUGCGGCCUGUGUCUGGACAGUGGCGGCGCGGCUUUCUCUCUCCCAUUCCGUAUCGUCGGGGCUACACGAACCCGAACCCGGGCGCUGCCCCUCACAAGCACCGCAUAUCAACGACGUACAUGCCCCCGCCUACGGCGUACGUCAUGGGGGCUGCCGGCGGUGCGCCGCCACGGCUUUUGUUCGACGCUUCAACGCUUGCCACCAUCGAGGCAUCCACCACUAGACUUAUCGAAGCGCACACGCUGCGCCUCGCCGGCGCCCACAACGGCGCGGCGGCGAUGAUAACGGGCAACGGCCGGGCGAAUGGGGCGCCCGUUUCCGCGCCGCAGCGCUUUGUGGCGCCAUCGAUGUCGGUGCCACUCGCGUCACGACUGCCGACGCCGAACCUAAGCGAUCCCGUGCCCUCCCUCGCUGCGUCGGCAGCAGGGGUGUCUGCUGGUGCUUCCGCGCCACCGUCGACAACCGCUGGCUCUUCGUACUCGCGCGGCAGCCAGAAACCAAAGUUGGCCAUGCCAGCACCUCGAGCGCAGCAGCAGCAGCGCUUUCCCGCCGCUCUCCACGCUGCAGAGCAGUCCUCGGAGCAGCACACGUCUAAUCGCGCAGGCAUGCCAGCACAAGCUGCGGUAAACCAGACGGCGAGGUACGACGACGAUGGCGUCGACGCCCCGAGUGCGGAUGUCUCGUACGGCGCGGUGCAGGAGCCGGGCGUGCACGAGCAACAGUACUGCAACACGCUCGAGCCCCGUGAGGACAGUGUCACCACCUACGAACCGUCGACAACGGAUGAGGUGCCGACAAACGCGGCCGUGCUGCUGCCGGUAGGCUGCGAUGAAGGCAGCUCACCCAUAUUCCAGUAUCCUUGACGACGCGGACGCCGACAACACUCACGCCCGAAAAGGCGGCGGCCACGCACCCGAAUCUCCGUCAGCGGGAGCCCCAUGGGGAAGCUGCGGCGCCUAACACCGCCACAGAACGAGCUGAAGUAGCCUGCGGCAGUGGCCACGUGAAUGGUGCACAAGGACCCUGCGUUGCAGCCGCUGCCGCCGCCGUCGCCGUAGAGGGGGAAAAGCUUUAGAAUGUGGCCAAGAUCGUGGCGCAGAUGGGCACCAUCACGCCCAUGUAGCUGGAAGCAGAGAAAGGACUGCGGGAGAGUGUAGAUGUGUCGCAGCUGAUAGGAAGCGCAGCCGCCUCGCUCUCCUACGGCACCAUGCAGCCGUGUGGGAGCGGCGCCAUCGACUCUGGGGCGGGUCGAAGAGGGAGCGAAAGUCUAGUGGCAAGCGUAGAGCAGGCCUCUCGCCUUGCCAGGGCACAUGUGAGCGUGCUUCGCCGGGCCUCUAUCACUGUGCAGCUGUCUGCGUCUCUCUGCUCUCUGCCUGUUUUGCUCGCGUCUCGCUUCGUUUCCUUACUUCCAUGUGCUGUUGCCAUUCUCUUGUUGCUUCGGUUGUUGAAUUCGCAUGAGGGAGCAAGAGAGGAGGGUGUGGAGAGGGGGGUGGGGCGCAGCACCUUCCUCCGGCCCUCCGGCCCUCCUCUGUCGUUGUGUGUGGGUGCGCGCGUGCCUGUACCGAUGUUCCUGUGUUUUUUCUGCUUCGCUUCCCCAAUACCGCCGCCGCCACCGCCACCGCUUGUGUGCGUCGUCUCUGACUGUGUAUGUUUGGUCUCUUAGAAACUCUCUUUCCCGUCGUGCUGCGAUGGCGGGCCUGCAUGCAGCAAGCCCCCUCCCCCACCUCGUGCAGCUCCCCCUUCUACUCACCGCCUUUGCAGCUGCGCCGAUGGACGGAUGACGAGUGGAUGUUUUGGAGCUCGCGACGUUGUGGUAGGCCAUGUACAUGCUUGUGCUGUAUGCAACGCCUUCUUGGUGUGCGUGUAUGAGUGGAGGGGGAGGAGUCCAUCUCUCUCUUUCUCUCGCGUUCUCGUUUCGUUUCUUCGCAUCUCCGUCGCUGAUCUCCGACCUCGAUGAGCGUGUUCUCUAUGCGCCUGCCUCGCCUGCUGCGUGCGGCGGCAUUGCUGCCAUUGAAGCUGCACCUCGCCCUCCUUUCUGUGGCGCCGUGCGGAUGCAGAACGCGCAUGGUUGGUCGGCGCGUAGAGGCGUACGUAUGCUUCGAUAGCCCUGCUGUGAGGGGCCACCCCACGCCACCCUACCCCACCCCUCUUAACACCUCUUGCGCCCCUUCGGUGCCUCUUCUCCAUCCCUGACGACACACCCACGCGAGCGCAUUACCAAAAUCUGCUUCUUGUUAUCGAAAACGUUUGACCCACCCUCGCUGGUGCAG
rnacentral:misc_RNA from 1 species